rnacentral:rRNA from 1 species
GACGUAGGGCGCGAGCGUUGUCCGGAUUUAUUGGGCGUAAAGAGCUCGUAGGCGGCUUGUCGCGUCGUCCGUGAAAACCUGCGGCUCAACUGCAGGCUUGCGGUCGAUACGGGCAGGCUGGAGUUCGGUAGGGGAGACUGGAAUUCCUGGUGUAGCGGUGAAAUGCGCAGAUAUCAGGAGGAACACCGGUGGCGAAGGCGGGACUCUGGGCCGAUACUGACGCUGAGGAGCGAAAGCGUGGGGAGCGAACAGG